GAGGGUAUAGCUCAGUGGUAGAGUGCAUGCUCAGAAUGCAUGAGCUCCUGAGUUCAAUUACCAGUACUUUCA
rnacentral:tRNA from 1 species